rnacentral:tRNA from 1 species
GUAGAUAUGGCUUAGCAGUUAAGAGCACUGACCACUCUUCCAGAGGUCCUGAGUUCAAUUCCCAGCAACCACA